rnacentral:rRNA from 1 species
GAUGAACGCUGGCGGCGUGCUUAACACAUGCAAGUCGAACGGAGAAAGGGUAGCUUGCUAUCUUUCUUAGUGGCGGACGGGUGAGUAACGCGUGGGUAACCUGCCCUUUGCAGGGGGAUAACAGUGAGAAAUCGCUGCUAAUACCGCAUACCAACUUCUUUCGCAUGAAGGAAGUUUGAAAGAUUUAUCGGCAAAGGAUGGACCCGCGUUGGAUUAGCUAGUUGGUGAGAUAACAGCCCACCAAGGCAACGAUCCAUAGCCGGCCUGAGAGGGUGAACGGCCACACUGGGACUGAGACACGGCCCAGACUCCUACGGGAGGCAGCAGUGGGGAAUAUUGCACAAUGGGCGAAAGCCUGAUGCAGCGACGCCGCGUGAAGGAUGAAGGUCUUCGGAUUGUAAACUUCUAUCAGCAGGGAAGAAAGGGCUUAUAGCCUAUGACGGUACCUGACUAAGAAGCCCCGGCUAACUACGUG